GCCACAUGCGAAAACUCAUUUUCCUCUUUGAAGAACAUCUUCAGUGAUCACAGGCGGAGUAUGCUGCAUCCACGGAAGGCCCACCUCAUCCAGCUCAGUUUUGAGAAGGACUUGACUCGAAAAUGCAUGGAGCAGUGGAAGGACCGUUUGCUAAGGAGGUUCCAUUCCACAGGGAAAAGGCGUCUCCAGCUUUACUAGCAUCAAUCGGACCACUUUCAGAACUGAACAGGGUUUCCCGUGCAUCCUUCUUCCUCUCCACACAAAGUUCAACGUUCUCUCUCCCAUUGCACACACGCAUGCCCCGGCCGCUCCCGAGAGCACAGAGAGUGAACCGAUAAAAAAAUAAAAAUAAACACAACUUGUUAUGGUAA